rnacentral:rRNA from 1 species
GACGAACGCUGGCGGCGUGCUUAACACAUGCAAGUCGAACGGAAAGGCCCUGCUUUUGUGGGGUGCUCGAGUGGCGAACGGGUGAGUAACACGUGAGUAACCUGCCCUUGACUUUGGGAUAACUUCAGGAAACUGGGGCUAAUACCGGAUAGGAGCUCCUGCUGCAUGGUGGGGGUUGGAAAGUUUCGGCGGUUGGGGAUGGACUCGCGGCUUAUCAGCUUGUUGGUGGGGUAGUGGCUUACCAAGGCUUUGACGGGUAGCCGGCCUGAGAGGGUGACCGGCCACAUGGGGACUGAGAGACGGCCCAGACGCCUACGGGAGGCAGCAGUGGGGAAUAUUGCACAAUGGGCGGAAGCCUGAUGCAGCAACGCCGCGUGCGGGAUGACGGCCUUCGGGUUGUAAACCGCUUUCGCCUGUGACGAAGCGUGAGUGACGGGAAUGGGUAAAGAAGCACCGGCUAACUACGUG